rnacentral:rRNA from 1 species
UAAGUUAUUAAGGGCGCACGGUGGAUGCCUUGGCACUAGAAGCCGAUGAAGGACGUUACUAACGACGAUAUGCUUUGGGGAGCUGUAAGUAAGCUUUGAUCCAGAGAUUUCCGAAUGGGGAAACCCAGCAUGAGUUAUGUCAUGUUAUCGAUAUGUGAAUACAUAGCAUAUCAGAAGGCACACCCGGAGAACUGAAACAUCUUAGUACCCGGAGGAAGAGAAAGAAAAUUCGAUUCCCUUAGUAGCGGCGAGCGAAACGGGAAGAGCCCAAACCAACAAGCUUGCUUGUUGGGGUUGUAGGACACUCUAUACGGAGUUACAAAGGACGACAUUAGACGAAUCAUCUGGAAAGAUGAAUCAAAGAAGGUAAUAAUCCUGUAGUCGAAAAUGUUGUCUCUCUUGAGUGGAUCCUGAGUACGACGGAGCACGUGAAAUUCCGUCGGAAUCUGGGAUGACCAUCUCCUAAGGCUAAAUACUCUCUAGUGACCGAUAGCGAACCAGUACCGUGAGGGAAAGGUGAAAAGCACCCCGGAAGGGGAGUGAAAUAGAACCUGAAACCGUGUGCUUACAAGUAGUCAGAGCCCGUUAAUGGGUGAUGGCGUGCCUUUUGUAGAAUGAACCGGCGAGUUACGAUUUGAUGCAAGGUUAAGCAGUAAAUGUGGAGCCGUAGCGAAAGCGAGUCUGAAUAGGGCGUUUAGUAUUUGGUCGUAGACCCGAAACCAGGUGAUCUACCCUUGGUCAGGUUGAAGUUCAGGUAACACUGAAUGGAGGACCGAACCGACUUACGUUGAAAAGUGAGCGGAUGAACUGAGGGUAGCGGAGAAAUUCCAAUCGAACCUGGAGAUAGCUGGUUCUCUCCGAAAUAGCUUUAGGGCUAGCCUCAAGUGAUGAUUAUUGGAGGUAGAGCACUGUUUGGACGAGGGGCCCCUCUCGGGUUACCGAAUUCAGACAAACUCCGAAUGCCAAUUAAUUUAACUUGGGAGUCAGAACAUGGGUGAUAAGGUCCGUGUUCGAAAGGGAAACAGCCCAGACCACCAGCUAAGGUCCCAGAAUAUAUGUUAAGUGGAAAAGGAUGUGGCGUUGCCCAGACAACUAGGAUGUUGGCUUAGAAGCAGCCAUCAUUUAAAGAGUGCGUAAUAGCUCACUAGUCGAGUGACACUGCGCCGAAAAUGUACCGGGGCUAAACAUAUUACCGAAGCUGUGGAUUGUCCUUUGGACAAUGGUAGGAGAGCGUUCUAAGGGCGUUGAAGCAUGAUCGUAAGGACAUGUGGAGCGCUUAGAAGUGAGAAUGCCGGUGUGAGUAGCGAAAGACGGGUGAGAAUCCCGUCCACCGAUUGACUAAGGUUUCCAGAGGAAGGCUCGUCCGCUCUGGGUUAGUCGGGUCCUAAGCUGAGGCCGACAGGCGUAGGCGAUGGAUAACAGGUUGAUAUUCCUGUACCACCUAUAAUCGUUUUAAUCGAUGGGGGGACGCAGUAGGAUAGGCGAAGCGUGCGAUUGGAUUGCACGUCUAAGCAGUAAGGCUGAGUAUUAGGCAAAUCCGGUACUCAUUAAGGCUGAGCUGUGAUGGGGAGAAGACAUUGUGUCUUCGAGUCGUUGAUUUCACACUGCCGAGAAAAGCCUCUAGAUAGAAAAUAGGUGCCCGUACCGCAAACCGACACAGGUAGUCAAGAUGAGAAUUCUAAGGUGAGCGAGCGAACUCUCGUUAAGGAACUCGGCAAAAUGACCCCGUAACUUCGGGAGAAGGGGUGCUCUUUAGGGUUAACGCCCAGAAGAGCCGCAGUGAAUAGGCCCAAGCGACUGUUUAUCAAAAACACAGGUCUCUGCUAAACCGUAAGGUGAUGUAUAGGGGCUGACGCCUGCCCGGUGCUGGAAGGUUAAGAGGAGUGGUUAGCUUCUGCGAAGCUACGAAUCGAAGCCCCAGUAAACGGCGGCCGUAGCUACAACGGUCCUAAGGUAGCGAAAUUCCUCGUCGGGUAAGUUCCGACCCGCACGAAAGGCGUAACGAUUUGGGCACUGUCUCAACGAGAGACUCGGUGAAAUCAUAGUACCUGUGAAGAUGCAGGUUACCCGCGACAGGACGGAAAGACCCCGUGGAGCUUUACUGUAGCCUGAUAUUGAAAUUCGGCACAGCUUGUACAGGAUAGGUAGGAGCCUUUGAAACGUGAGCGCUAGCUUACGUGGAGGCGCUGGUGGGAUACUACCCUAGCUGUGUUGGCUUUCUAACCCGCACCACUUAUCGUGGUGGGAGACAGUGUCAGGCGGGCAGUUUGACUGGGGCGGUCGCCUCCUAAAAGGUAACGGAGGCGCUCAAAGGUUCCCUCAGAAUGGUUGGAAAUCAUUCAUAGAGUGUAAAGGCAUAAGGGAGCUUGACUGCGAGACCUACAAGUCGAGCAGGGUCGAAAGACGGACUUAGUGAUCCGGUGGUUCCGCAUGGAAGGGCCAUCGCUCAACGGAUAAAAGCUACCCCGGGGAUAACAGGCUUAUCUCCCCCAAGAGUUCACAUCGACGGGGAGGUUUGGCACCUCGAUGUCGGCUCAUCGCAUCCUGGGGCUGUAGUCGGUCCCAAGGGUUGGGCUGUUCGCCCAUUAAAGCGGUACGCGAGCUGGGUUCAGAACGUCGUGAGACAGUUCGGUCCCUAUCCGUCGUGGGCGUAGGAAAUUUGAGAGGAGCUGUCCUUAGUACGAGAGGACCGGGAUGGACAUACCUCUGGUGUACCAGUUGUCGUGCCAACGGCAUAGCUGGGUAGCUAUGUGUGGACGGGAUAAGUGCUGAAAGCAUCUAAGCAUGAAGCCCCCCUCAAGAUGAGAUUUCCCAACUUCGGUUAUAAGAUCCCUCAAAGAUGAUGAGGUUAAUAGGUUCGAGGUGGAAGCAUGGUGACAUGUGGAGCUGACGAAUACUAAUCGAUCGAAGACUUAAUCA